rnacentral:lncRNA from 1 species
GAUUUUAUGGGAAACAAAAGAAGAGAGGGGAAACGGCUUCUCUGACGGAACAGAAAUCUUCUGGCUCUGCUAACAGCAAACUUGCUGCCACGUGAUGAUACAACCCAGCAACACAUAAGUGAAUUUGGCAAAAACUAAGGAAUCCAGAGCAAAAAGGGAGAGGUGGCAGGCAUCACCGCUGGUCUCUGAGCAGGGAGCAUCAAGUCUUUCUGCAGUUAAGAGGACCAAUUCAAGCGAGCUGUCAGCGCGGGAGGAACGGUGACAGAGCUGUUCAGUCCUUUCUCCAGGGAUAUGAUGGCAUUAAUAAUAUCAUCAUUUUCAUUUUUUUUAAUCUUUUAUACAAUCCAUAAGAAAAAGCCUUUGAAACACCUCCUCCUAUAGCCUGUCUCUGCCAGUAGCUGGUAGCAGUUGCUGAGGGAAGGGACUAAUUAUGUACUCUCAGAUAGGCAACUGCUCUAACUAACAGGCAAUUAUUUGCUGGAUUCUUGUAUUUAAAAGUAGAGAAUUUAAAUAGUAAAUGCAACACAUAAUUACUGAGACAAAUUGUGAAAUGUUCAGGCAAAAUGACACAUGGCAUCUCAGUGGGAUAAGUCUGUCAGGGUUUGGGAAUGGAUUUAUUUAUUUGGAGUAGCUUUCAUUUUCCCUGCUUCUUUUUUCCAUCUGGCCAUCCCAGACUUUCAUCAGCUUGACCGGUGGCCAUUCACCUGUGACAGGAUGGUUGGCCUGCACUUAUCAAAUGUUUUUCCCAGCAUUUAUUUGUGCAGCAGGGGUGUCUCAGCCAUCCAGCCAGAUAAGCAAUCGCAUUGCUUCUGUUGAUACUGUUCAACAGUACUGUUGUACUGUUGUUGAUGCUUCAAAGUAUUUUUUUCUUCAACAAGAUGGUGUUUCCCACACUUCCCAUCCAACAAACAGGCAGCGCACUGGCUGCUGACUCCUCAGUGCCAAGAGCCCAACCACUGCUGUUUCCCUUUUAUCAUCCUCUGCCCUACAGGUUGCUGGGGAGGGGACAGAGGAGGCUCUUUCCCCCUGCACCAGUAAAUGAGAUAGCAGCCAGCAAGGUCAGCAUCAGCGCCUCGAUUACAAUCAGCUGGGUUAUCUGCUCACCACCAUCAGGAACUGUCUUUAUUAACAAAGGGCCUUCAGUGCAGCAGCAGAUAGCUACUGGGGCAGCAUCCCUUGUUUACAAACUCAGGGUCUUACCUCUGCUAAAGUUUGGAUUUCAUGAGGAGGAAAAAAAAGAAACAUUUUCUACUAUAAGCAACUAUUUAACGUCACGUGGACAUUUAAUCAGAUCCUCAGAGUCACUGGAAAUAUUCCUUAGUGACAGAACAUGUAAUUUAUUGUAA